UACGUAGGGGGCAAGCGUUGUCCGGAUUUAUUGGGCGUAAAGAGCGUGUAGGCGGUUUGGUAGGUCCGUUGUGAAAACUCGAGGCUCAACCUCGGGACGCCGAUGGAAACCAUCAGACUAGAGUCCGGAAGAGGAGAGUGGAAUUCCUGGUGUAGCGGUGAAAUGCGCAGAUAUCAGGAAGAACACCCGUGGCUAAGGCGGCUCUCUAGUACGGUACUGACGCUGAGACGCGAAAGCGUGGGGAGCGAACAGG
rnacentral:rRNA from 1 species